UACAGAGGUCUCAAGCGUUGUUCGGAUUCAUUGGGCGUAAAGGGUGCGUAGGCGGCUCGGUAAGUCGGAUGUGAAAUCCCAGAGCUUAACUUUGGAAGUGCAUCCGAAACUGCUGAACUAGAGUCUCGGAGAGGGUGGUAGAAUUCCCAGUGUAGAGGUGAAAUUCGUAGAUAUUGGGAGGAAUACCGGGUGGCGAAGGCGACCACCUGGACGAAGACUGACGCUGAGGCGCGAGAGCGUGGGGAGCAAACAGG
rnacentral:rRNA from 1 species